rnacentral:tRNA from 2 species
GGGUUGGUAGCUCAAUGGUAGAGCAGCGGCCUUUUAAGCCGUUGGUUGUGAGUUCGAGUCUCACCCGACCCACCA